GAUGAACGCUAGCGGCAGGCUUAACACAUGCAAGUCGAACGGUAACAGUCCAGCAAUGGAGCUGACGAGUGGCAAACGGGUGCGGAACACGUACGCAACAUACCCUUGACCGGGGGAUAGCCUUCUGAAAAGGAGAUUAACACCCCAUAAGAUCACCAGAUAGGCAUCUAUUAGUGAUUAAAAAUUUACUUGGUUGAGGAUUGGCGUGCGUCCUAUUAGCUAGUUGGAAGGGUAACGGCCUACCAAGGCGACGAUAGGUAGCUGGUGUGAGAGCACGACCAGCCACACGGGCACUGAGACACCGGGCCCGACUCCUACGGGGAGCAGCAGUGAGGAAUAUUGGUCAAUGGACGCAAGUCUG
rnacentral:rRNA from 1 species